GGAGAGCCCUUGACAGGGUGACCAGAGCCUGCAUCCCAUCCCUGCAUGGAGGAUGCUUCACACUUUCUGGGCAGCCUGUAGGGUUGUGUGAAGGUCAGGCAAAAAGAAGAGCUCUUUUGCGAGGCUGAAUAAAUGAAAGCAUGGGAUAGGAAGGAGGAGGGGGGGGAAACAGUUGUGCUUUGCUGAAAAACCUUUUUCUGACACCUACAGAUGGUGCUGACGGGGUCAGGCAGAAGUGAAGAACGGCAGCAGUGGCAAAUGCAAAGACCCCUCACUCUUAACACCUCUUUCUCAUGCUUAAGACUUGAAAAGCAUCCCUGCUGCUGUUCCAGGUGGGUGUGGAGCUUGGAUGCAUGUCAACCCUUGCGUUUCUGGCCUCAACGAGCUGCCCUGGCGCGAUGCGAUGUCACUGCAUGGGAAUGCACGUCCCUGCACUGGGACAGCUCUGGCCAACACCAGAUACCCUUCCUUCCUGCCUGCUCCCAUGGUGAGGAUUAUUGCUUUUGGCUUCUCCUGGCUUUGAAAGGCAUCCAAAGAGCUCAGCUCUCGCAAACGGAGAGUGGAGACAGAAAGCCUCUCCCCGCCUCACCUGUUUGUGGUUAUUCAGCUCCCUCCCUUCACGCUUUGGCACAAGAAUGGCCUGAAAGUAAAACAAGAGGCAAGUUCUCCCCCGGCUCAAAGCACUGAAUGAAACCCAGCCAGCGGGGCCUAUUGAGACAGCAUCGAGACAAAUGUCAACUUUAACACAAAGAGGCUUAAAUGACUGACACAGAAAGGAAUAAUCUCGGAUCUGUUUUCCAGGCUGCUCCCCAGCAUUGCUGGGCUGCAGACGGAGACAAUUUUCAGUUCCCCGGGGAGAUUGGAUAGCCAAAAAAAGAUACUCGGCGGUGAUAUGCUAUAAGUCUAGGUCAUGAGAAUGGAUGUUUGGAAUAAUGACAGAAUUCAUUAUAGGCAAACUAAAUUAAGAGAGUGUCUUGAGAAACAUAUGGGGAGGAAAUUGCCACUGCAGCCCUGCAAUGUGUAGCUUUAUUUCUCAUUGUGCUGGGCUCUCCCAGAGGCCUCCGUGGAACGGGACGGGGGGUUAUCAGAGUCAUUUUGUGGCAACUGUGAAUCAGUUGCUUUUUUUUUCUUUUCUUUUCUUUUCUUUUUGUAGAUGGGAGUGGCUUUUGAGGUUAUUUCCCUCCGAGUCUUCUGGAAAAGUGAAAGUAAUUGCAGCCCAUAAGGAAUGGGAUUUCCAUGAAAAUAACAGCCACCUUCUCCCCCAGAGGUGGUGGAGAAAGGAAUGAUGUCCUGGUUGGUGCCUUACUAGGGCACACUUGGCUCAGCCCUUAGCACUGAAGUGUGCAAAAGCAUGGGUGCUGCAUUCAUCCAUGCAGAGCACUGACAGCAUCCCUGCCGUCCCCUGUGCCAGGUUUGUCCUUGCCUGGAGCUUGGUGCAAGAAGGAAUGGUGCUCUAAGCAGUCUGCCCAACACCCUUCCUGUGCUAAAUAUCAGCAGACGUGGUUCCAGGCUCAAUUAGGAAAGAAUUAAAGGAUUUAGAUUCAAUUAACAUGGAGCAUUAUGGAAAGCUUUAUUUUUUUUUCCCUAUAGAAACCUGCCUGUGUUCUUUUCCUCCCCAGGAUCUGUAAGUCAAGGUGAUGAGGAGGAGAGGGGUGUGAUGAAGGAACGUAGUGUUUGUGGAGGUCCUGGCCAAGGUACGGUGCUCCAGCAAUGGGAUGCAGCAGUGUGCUUAAUGAGGUAAACGAGUUAUCUCAAAGAGGACCGUAGCAGAGAUCUCCUUGGGUCUGGAAGACAAGAGCUAUCAUUGAAAGAUGUUUCUACUCCUUUUCUCUUUUCUUUUCUUUUUCUUUUUUUUUGAUUUCUUUUUCCUCAAAACUCCUUUCAGAGUUGGAAAGGCUUGGAGUUGGGUCCACUGGUAACUCAAACCAGAUAUGUGCACUUUAUAAAGUGUGUGUGUGUGUGUCUUUAGUGAAGUGUUGGCACUUUGACUGCCACAGAGCAGGCGGUGAUGCUGGGGGGCUUUGCCUUCUCCUGGGUGGUUUGGGGAAUGCUGCUGGGGGGCUGAGACAAUGCCCUAACCCCAGGUUUUCUGCCUGCGCUUAAAAGGAUUUGCACUUGCAGAUAGCUCUGAUUCAGUGUGGAAAAGGGAAGGGAUGGGGAAGCUCAGAAGAGCUGACAGAGGCAAAAAAAGGGUGUGAAAUUCGUACUAUCUGGUGUGUCUCCUUUGAUGUGUCACGCAGAGAUUGUGCAGGCGCUCAGAAGUGAAGGGGUUAAAGCGUUUCUCGGUUACCAUUGAAAUGGGAGCUGUUAUGGUCUAUUUAGGCAAUGAUCUGUUACAAUAUCAAUGGCAUUUUCGAUGGCAGUGUCUCCCAUUCUUCUAUUGAAAUCACAAUAGCUUUGGAAGUUCAUGGCCACGGCAGUCUCAGGGACAGAUUUCUGUUCAUUUUUCUUUGUUGUGAAGAUUUUUUCUUUUUUUUUUUUUUUUACCCCCACCUCUUUUUUCUCUAUAAAGUAAAUUAACUCACACAAAUGCGAAAAGAAGCAUCAAGUGUGUGACCUUUGCACAAAAGCUUCAGAUUUGUCAUUCUCUCUCCUUCGCUUAUUCCGGCCGGCUCAGAAACGCCGCGAUUCAAUACGCGGCGCAGCUUGUGAGCUCUUGGGCUACCUGGGCACAAAUGGCUGGGCAAGGCUGAAGGGACAACGUGAAAUCUACAUUUCUAUGCCGUUGUCAGCUUCUAACACUCAAGGGGAAAAAGUCAGAGCUGGGGAGAGGUCUUAGCUGCAUUGAGAUGGAAUGGGAGCCUCCCAGCUCUGCUUCUUUAGAAACCAGGGGCAAUGCAGUCCCCAGGACUGUCUGGAGAGGUUACUUGCCCAUCCUUCACUUUGAUGAUUGAUGACAGUGGAGAAGCUAAUGAUAUUUUAUUCACCUGUCAAAAAAAUUACUUGCCCUGGGCAAGGCAAGGAGAGCGCGCCAGAAUGUUAACGCUGCCCUUUUUAAGGAACACAUUUAUCCCAUUUCCCCUAAAAUAUUAGCUGAAAGGGAAAAAUGCUGUCCUGCCGAGCUCACUGCUGCGGGGUGUUGGUGAGGGGAAUCUCUCCCACCUACAAAGUGCCUUGAACUUUGUAUUGGGAGCAUGAAACGUGCGUUACAAGUGCAUUCCCAGGGGCUCCCCUUGGCCUUUGCCCCUCAGUGCCUAUGGGCAAGCAAAAGGCACCAGGGCCUGCUUAGAAAUAUCCCCCUUGAGAAGGCAAAGGAUCUUCACAUUGAGAGAGCCCCCAGUAACCAGCUGUGCCUUAAACAGACCGAGUUCAAACCUGUACUACAGACAGCUUUAUUGUGUUUUAUUCCACUGGUGUGAUUUAUUUCUGUUGCGUAUAGUUAGGUUUCUUGAUUUUAUAUUAUUGCCAUCAUCUCUUUUCUAUCAAGAAGUGAACUAAAUGUUUCCUGCUGCUGCCUGAUACAGAUGGGUUUUCUUAGAUCUGAGAAGUUGCAUGUAAUCAGCAGCCAAGGCAGUGCAGUUACCAGGUGAAGGUAAUGUGAGAUGGAGAGCAGCUGAAGGAAAUGGGAUGGCUCAGUCUGGAGAAGAGGAGGCUCAGAGGAGACCUCACUGAUCUCUACAGCUCUGUGAAAGCAGGUUGUGACAAGGUUGGGGUCAGCCUUCUCUCCAAGCCUGUGCUUGCAGCACUGGUUGUUGCUAGGUGGAAGUGGUGUCAGCCCAGAGUCAUCCUGCCCAAGAUCCCCUCAUGUUUGCAGGGGUGCAUCCCUGAGAUGGAGCACUCCAGGCCACCUCCUGGCAUUGUGCUCCUGAGCCUUUAAUCAUCCACAGCAUUGGCAAACUGUUUCCUCGAGGAGACAAUUGAUAAAGCUGAUGAAAAGGGAUCUAAAUUCCUCAUCAGGCUCAAGCUCUGAAAAGCUGGAUUUCCGCAGCACAGCGCAAAGUGCAGCCAUAUGAAAGGUAAACAUUUCAUCUUCGUGUCGGAGCAGGUAGAGAUGUUCAAAUGGGACGCAAACCGCUCACAGCAGCUGAACUAAUCUGAAAUGCCAUUAAAAUUCAUCGCAAAGAAAUCCAGUGCUGCAAGAAAUGGCUUCUUCCGACCUAUUUCUGAGUCUGCUGACUCGGGGUGCUGCCGUGGUGCCCACGUGUGCCAAGAGCAGGACCUGGAGCACAACUUUUAAUGGCCUGUGGCACUUCUGAAGCAUUUUAAGCAGUUUGUGCAGGGCAAAACACAGCAGCAGCCAGGCCCAGGUAUGACUGCUGCCCAUAAGCUGCUGUAGAGAGCCCCACAGGAGCUGGGAUUUGAGCCACCAGGGGAACCGGAGGGCUUCCGUGAGGUUUGAAUAUUAGUAUUUCUUUCUUUCUUUAAAUCAGAUCAUAGAAAUGCCAGUCUGAGCCCAGGGUCUGGUUUACAAGGGUGUACCUCUAUUUCACACCAAGAAACUCAUCUCGACGCUUAUCAACGCAGGUUGAAAAAUAUAUGUAUAUGAAUACAGAAAGAAAGGAAUGCACGGCACUGCACAGCCUUUGCAACGUGCAGGCUGCAGCAAGUGGUGAUUUCAGCAUCUUUCUUCCACCCCUGUGCAGAAUACCAAAAAAGAACAUCUUUUUCGACAUCACCAGUGCAAUUACGGAGGUAGAAAUGGAAGUUAAGGCAAUGAAAGGUGCUGCGUGGCAGGGAUGCCAGGCUUUGGGCACAGGGAAGCAUGCAAGCUUGAAAAUCUCACUUGACUUUUUAAUGUUCUUCUCUGUUGUAGUAAUUCCCACAUUGAUGUUGUUCCAGACCAUCUGAUCCCAGCCUCUGGAAGUCCUUCCUGCUGGAAAGCAGCAGUCCCUGUAUGAACUACGAGCACGGUUGAGUCGGAAGUCGCCUUCAUAACAGCUUUGAUGUUUCAACGCUUUUUACAGGAGAUGAGAUUUGAUAACCUGCUUCCUGACCUGUGGAUAGAGAGCAGAAUGAAACCCAAAUUCUUGAGAGAGUAACCAAACACCUCUGGGAAGAGCCACAGAACAGUCGGGCUGAUUUGUAGGGCCGUGGGUUUGCCAGGAAACCUCCCUGAGCUAUUACUUUAAAUUGCCACUAAGUGGCAGCCAAGUAAAAAUUAUGGUAAAAUGAAACUUUCCCAAAUAAAUAUUUCAUCUAACGUCAGCGCAAGGUGCAGCAGCAUCAACAGAAUUCCUGAGCCCUGUGGUGCCCGGGAAGCUACACCAAGGGAGGAGAUGGCAAUAAGAGGGAUCUGUGGGAAUCCAUGUGGGUUUUCCUUGGGAGGAGCACAGUGUGCAGCAUGGUGUGCUUCCUGACUUGUUACAGAACCACAGAAUCAUUCAGGCUGGAAAAGACCUCUAAGACCCCCAAGUCCAGCCCCAGCCCACCCCACCAUGCCCAUAAUCACAUCCUUCAGUGCCACAUCCCCACUGUUCUGGAGCAUCUCCACGGACGGUGACCCCACCACUCCCUGGGCAGCUGUGCCCGUGCAGCACUGCUCCUUCAGUGAAGAAAUGUUUCCUAACUUAUCUCUUUUUAAAAAUCAGUCUAAAUAGGUUCAGGACAUCGAUUAAUUGCCAUAAGCACGUGCGUGCUUGGCAUAAAGGCAGGGUAGAAGACUUGCAGCGUUUCCUUCCCCCUGUAAAUGAGCACUACGCCAUCCACUUGCAAAACUGAGAUUCCCCCUGGGUAACACUUGGCUCUGAUGCAUUAUUAACCAUUUUAAUUUUUAAGUGGCUUGAAGAUACCCAGGUAAAGCGAGGCAGAUCUGGGUCAGGCACACUGCGCAGCAGCUUUCAUUAGCAGCUGUGCAGCUUUGUCACCUCUGUGAAUCUCAGGGAGCCCGGGUACCUCCCCUGCUCUGCAGUGGAGCUGGAUCAGAGAUGACCUCUUCAGGGAGAAAUGGUAAUUGGAAGCGUCGGUUAUCUGAAACUUUUAUCCAAAAAGACAGCAUCCCAGGCACCGCGCCAACCUGCUCACAUUUAGAAUGUUUUAGGAUAUUUGAAGGAAGUCACAUGCACGGCAUACAUUUUAAUGCUCAAAGGACUCUUGAGAUAACAUAUGUAUUUUUUUCAAGCGUAAGGCAAAUAGUGGGAAGGGAGAGAUACGUAUCACAAAGUCAGCUGAAAACGCUGGGGGGAAGAUCUGUCUUCAGCCACCAGCAAGUGCUCCGUGUUGAUCCAUACUGCUAUUUCUGAGAGCGUUUUGUUAACCCAAAGGUCACCACGAGUGACCACGUUCUCAGCCUGGAGUCCGCCUGUUUCCAUCGCCACCUCCCUUCAAUCUUUGAAGGGAUAGGGAAAAAAAAGCCUCACCUUGCUUCAGAAUGCUGUGUUUCUGGAAAGAUUAAAUGAAGAGAUGAAAAUGCAGAGCAGAACAUGCCCAGAUGUGUCAGCUGCUCUCCCCACGGAGCUACCAACUCAUUCCAGGUGAUGCUCCCAACCCCCUGAGCUUUCCUAAGGGCUUUUCCAUUGCCGUAGGUCUGCAUUUACAGCAGCCUUCUCCGCUUUUGAGCAGAAAUGCUGUAAUGCUGACUAAUCUGUUUAGUUCUCAUUGCUUCUUUUUAGGUGCUGAUUUACUCCUUGGGUUUUCUUUGUGGUUUACCUCAGCCCAGACUCAGCCAGGCUCUGGGUGCCCAUGCCUUUGGUGUCGCAUUGCCAAACAGCAGCAAGCUGCAAUAGUAUCAGCUCAGCAGUGAUGUGCAGACACCUGGAAGUCCCCCAGCAAAGCCAUGUUUGGCAGUGAGUCCUGUCUGGGCGGUGCUCCUGGAGCUGACUGCAUCCCAUAUCUCACCAGGUGUGUGCCUGGCAUUCACAGAGAACGAAGUCCUGUGCACCACAACCACAGGAAGGAUGUGGGGAGCCGUGAUCCUGUGCAGCAAAUCUGCGCCUUCUAAGCUGCUUCAGGUGUUCACAUCGAGACCAUCACCAGCAAGGUCACUGUUAAUCACUUUUCAUCCUGAAGAAGGACCCCAGCUGACUGAUGCCUCUUAGAACCAUAGAACCGUUAAUGUUGGAAAAGAUCACCAAGUUCAACCCCAAUCCAUCCCCACCAUGCCCUUAACAGCGUCCCUCAGUACCACAUCUCCAUGGUUCUGGAACACCUCCAGGGAUGGUGACACCACCACUCCUCGUGCAGCUGUGCCACUGCGCCAUCGUUCUUUCAGAGAAGAAAUUUUUCCUAAUAUCCAACUCUUCAAGACCAAAGUAGUGUUACUUGUUAUCAGACUGGACAGAAGGGAUCUGAGCCAGGACUGGGCAGUGGGGACCAUCUUGCUGUCCUCUCACAUGUUGGUGCUCAUCCCGGCCUCUUCACACACAAAGACGCUUUGCACCAAGAUGAACCCUACUGGAAACUUGACUUUGCUGAUGCUCUACGUAAACUGCAUUUUCAUGGCAGUGUUUUACUGAAUGAUCGGCUUGGACAGAAGAAGCAGUGGUAAAUCGCCCUGAAUGAGACACCAAAUAGCAGUUAAUGACAGGUAGCUCCUUGACUUCUUAUAUUUCUUUCUUGCAUUUAAUCCCAUCAUUCUCAGUCCAUUAUGCAGAAGGACACUUCCUUGCUUAAAGGAUUCUCAAUGUCACCGGGUGGUGGCCAAGACCUGGGUGCUUCUUAAACGCUUGUGCAGACGGUGUGAGAGUCAGCGGGGCUUUGCUGAGGCUGGAAAGCUGCCAGAGAGCCCUUCCAGUGGCUGGCUGCUGGGAAAACCCAAAGAGCACAACUGGGAGCCUGAGUGAGUAUAAAGCUAAUUACCACAGAUGGAAAUUUCUUAAUUAGAAAUGGACCAUGGCCGUGGAGCAGGGCCUCCCAGAGUGUGGUGAAGAACUACUGCCGCAGGGCUUGCUUGCAAUGAGGCAUCUGGAAAAGACAAUAUAGGAACUCCCCGAGUGCUCUGGCAAUGUUUCCACUGCACCUCUGUGGCUUCGUGGCACUGAAUGCCCCUGAGAGAGGAGCCAUUUGCAGUGACUCUGCUGGUAACCAUGUGGGAUGUUUUCCAUUUUAAGUCCUGGUUUUGCUCCUCUUCCAGUGGAAUGGUACUUGGAGAGUGGUUGUGAAAUUUUUCAUAAUCUCUACCGUCUUUUUGGGCUCUGCUGCCCUAAUCGUGAUGGGUCUGCAUUGAGUGUUUCUAUGGUAACUCCCCGGGGAGCUUUCCUCUCAUCUGGGUGAAGUUAACUGGAAACAAAUAAAUAUGUCUGAGAUGAAGUGGGGUUGGAGAAGACUGAUGUGGUCUUUGGAGCGUGGUCUGGAAAAAGUGGAAUUGUUUGCAAAGGGGUCAAAGAUUGUGCUUAAACCCCACUUGCCUCCUGUGGUGUCGCAGAGCAGCCCCAGAUAGAAUCAUAGAAUAGAAGCACAGAAUAAUUGUUGGAAAAAACCACUAAGAUCCCCGAGUCCAACCCCAGCCCACCCUACCAUGCCCAUAACCACACCCCUCAGUGCCACAUCCCCACAGUUAUGGAAGACCUCCAGGGACACCCCACCACUCCCUGGCCAGCUGUGCCAGUGCAUCACCUCUCUGUCUGAGAAGAGCUUUUUUCUACUAUCCAUCUGGAACCUCUCCUGGAACGACUUGAGGUCAUCACCUCUUGUCCUAUUGCUGUUACCUGGGAGAAGAGGCUGACCUCCAGGCAGAGGCAAAUUUUACUGCCCUGAAGAUGCUCAGCCAGGGAACAGGAUUUUCACACGCUGUUUGAGAAGAUCAAUAGUCCCUGUUAUAUCCAAAUUAUAACAAACCUGAUGUCAUGUCUCAUUAGCGGGCAUCUCUGUGCAGUUUCAUGCAGAGUGGCAAGGGAAGACAGUGUGGGUGAUGUCCAUCUGUCACCUUGCCCUUGGGAAUGCCAAGGAGGGGACAAUGCCUGCCUGUCCAACCAGUCCCUCCCUUCCUCCUCACUGCAAGGCUGUGGAUCACACCUUUCUCAGAAUGUGUCAUAAUUAACCUUAGAGCUCUUUUCCUUUGCAUUUUUAGAUGACAUUGUUGAUGGGCCAGCAGCUGUUUGGAAGCUGCCAGACCUUUGCUGCUUGGUGAGCUUUUCUCUUCGAGCUUGGGAAAUGUCCCCAGUGGGAGCUGUGACCUGCCACUGCUGUCACCCGUGGGAAUGCAACACCUGCAGACCCCAGCCGGCUCCUUCCUGCUCCUUCAUCUUGGAAUACCAGCUGCAGGUUGCUUAUCAUCGGUCUGAGCCCUGAAGCAGAGGUACUGAUUCCGAUCUGCAGCUGCAGCCGGGCUUAAAUCUUGAUCUGCAAACGAUGUUUCUAUAAAGAGCAGGAAAGUUGGACUGCAUGUUCUCUCUGUUUAAAUGAAAAUACCUGCUCUUAACCCAAACCACGGCCAGUGCACCACACAAAAUGGGUGAGUCAGAUUUUAAAGGUAGGUGGAAAAUCAGCCUUGUUUUGGGUAAAAUGAGUGAGAAAACCCCUUCCACAGUAAACACGUCCCUGGAACCGGGGGCAAGAGCGAACCGUAUCGGUCUUUGUAAUCUAGUAUGGGAAGAAAUUCAAGCAGAUAGGUAACUUUUUGACCUGACGGGAUGAUUUCCAGCAUUUUUAUUUUGCCUGCAACAACUACGGAGCUCAAGCAGAGCAGACACCUGCAGCUGGGUGCGUACUGCUCAUGCUGUGGGUAAAGUUGUCACUGGCUGCGGGUGGUACCACCUCCUGGGAGAUACCCAGCCCUCGCUCUUCUCUAGAUAAGCAACUUUCUGCAACUCUCAGCAUGCUUAUUUUGAUUUGAGAAGUUUAAACGGAGUCCAGGCAGUCAUGUGGAUGAUCUGCAGGGCUGAUUUGAAGGUUGUUUUCCUGGCAAGCUGGUGCUGCCGGAGCAAACCAGCACAAUACUCUGUGUGCUGCGAGCGGUGGGAAAGUCUCUACAGGGCAGCGUUUGGCCACUGCAGCCACCUUGGACAAGAAGCAAAGCUCAGGUGAAAGCAAACAUGGUUAGUCCAGCAGUGCGUGCAGUCUUUCCGGUGCUUGGAUGAUAUGUAAUGAGCCCAGAGUAUCACAUGCAUGAGAUUCCUCUGUGCUCAGAGGCUGUUAGCAGGGAGCUGGUGGUGGGGCUGUCCCAGGCCACGGAUGGUAUGUCACACAGGGAUCCCACCCCACCAUCGUCCCCACAUCCCGCAGUUGCUGCAGUCGUUGCUUCUCCCUUUCUGGGGUGAUUAUUUUCAAUAAUCCUAAAAACUCAGAGGAGAUAACUUCAGCGCAGGGAGCCGCUGCGCCACGGGCCACCAUUAGCAAUUAAAAUGAGAUAAACAAUUAGCCUGUGAACUUGGCACAUGGGAUCGCUGCUGCCUCGGCAGCCACCGCAGAGCCACUCUGGGGCUCAGCUGCCUCUGCUCCCGAUCAGAGCAGCACCGGAGGACUGAGGUACAGUGGUGAUGCCCAGAGGAGGUGGGCUCCAUCACAGAGCCCCCCAAGCUGUAUUCUGAUAUUUAUUACACCUUCAUUUUCUUUCUCUUCCCCGCUUCUUCAUCAGGGCACUGGAGGGAAUAGGAGCACGCUAUCUAAUUUCCUAAUUUUCCCGUCAGCUUUCUGGCUUUCAAAAUGAUUGCGGCAGAAAUCUAUAAAACGAGGACGAGGGGAGCAAACUUAAUGCCGCCGUAAAUCUCCAAAAUGGAUGCAGAAACACAGUGCUCAAAGAGGAGUAAAUAAAAGUGAGGAGAGAUUCAUUCCGGUUUUCUUCUCUGUAAACCUGCUGGCAGCUUGGAAUUAUUCAGAAAACAACAUUUAACUGAGAAAAAGGGAACCCUGUAAAAUAGUAAAGAUUAUUCCGUAAAGCUAAGCACCCUCCAUCAAUCAUAGCUGGGAACAUUGCUAAGUUAUAGGAACCCACAGAUGGCUGUCAUUAAAGGGAAAGAGUCUCUCCCGCUCGGUGGGCUGUGCUGCUCCGCGCUGUACGGUUGCAAAUCGAGCUGCUUUCAUGGGGGAGCAACAAAAGUGGUUUUAAAAUAGGAAUUUCAAACAGAAGCUGCGUGAGCUGUUCAGCAGGACUCGGGCUUAUUGAGAAACCACAGCGGUAAUUUCAGGCCUGAUUUACAGGAGGCUGUAAUAAGCCUCCCUCGUUUAGAAGAACACGGUGCUGGUUUUAUGGCUGGUGCACAUCCAGGGCUGGAGGAACUGCUGGGGGGUGGGUGCCCAAGGGCUGUCCCCGUUGCAAACAGGGAUGUGGGGUGAGGGCUGAGGAAUGGAGUGUGGGGGGGCGGAUGGGACAGCCAGCAAGCUCCUUCCCCACACCAGGCACUGUCCUGUGUGCCCAUCUCCAGCAUCGCUGCUCUUCCCUUUGGGAUGAACUCAACUGGGGCUUCGACUCAGGGAGCAGCAGGGGAGAUGCUCAAAACAAGCUGAAAAUAGCAUGCAUUGACUGCCGCCGCUGCUGUCAAGACAGAGAUGUCACCAGGUGAGCUCCUCUUGGAUUAUAUUUUAAGCUGCACCGUGAUGUAGCACUGAGGCACUGCAUGGCUCCUGGGGGGUUGUGCUGUCUGUAGGACAUUGCAGGUGUGUGAGGGAUGCUGGGGGCUGUGCUGGCGCUGGGAGCCUUUCCUGACACAAAAUGGCACUGCAUUUAUUUAUUAUUUAUUUAUUAUUAAUUAUUUCUUAGCUCCUACCACACCACCCUCCCUGUCCCUAUUUCACUGCUGUUGGUGAGGGCUUUGCUGAGCUCGUUGCUCACUGGCCCAAGGGCUUUCCCAAGCACUAACCCUUCAAGUGCUGUAUUCGCAAUGCUUUCCUAAAACAUGGCCAGCAGGAUCCCACAGUAUUUUUCUUCUUCUCUAUCUCUGGUUGAACCCAAGUACUGCUUGCUCUAUCUCCAACAACUCUGUUUACAGCUCCUUGACACAACCCCCAUCGGUGUUUCGCUAGAAAAGGGAUCACCAACAGAUGCAAUUUCUUCCAGUGCUGGGAUUGUGUUUAUUUUACUGGAAUUGUACUCCAUUUAUCUGGUUGCAAAGGGACAAGGUCAUUUAUAUUGGCAGCAGUGAAUGUACUGAGACUGGCAGUGGUCGCAUGCUCACGGCUUGUUACCCAAGGAAAGUCCAGAGCAUACUAAUUUAUCCCACCGUGGAGCAGCAGUAGAAGAAAUGUACAAAUGGUAUCAAUCGGUCUUACAUUACUAACAGUGUAAACACUUUUUUCAGAUGAUAAAAGAUCCAAUAAAUCUACUUUAUUCCGUUUCAUUGUAAGGUCCAGUUCCUCCUUUCCAUCAUACAAACAACUUCCAGGUAGCGGGAGGGAUAUUGCAUUCCUUAUUCACAAAUCACAGUUUGACAGAUUAUUUGUAAUUUUCAGUGCCUACCUUCUUAUAUGGUGUUCAUAAAACGAGAUUAGAGUGAUUUACAAUAGCGAGAGAUGGAACAAGACUGAGAGGAGAUGUGACUCAUUAGACAUCAUCCUGAGCCUGUUGGAAGGAGCCUGCAUCGCUCAAGAAGGGAUGCUGUGAUUUUCCAGUCCCAGGGAUUUAGACUGACUUUGGAGGUAUUUCGGUACCGAAGCACCUGUUUUCCACCUGAAAACACGACCUACUAUCCCUGCUUUUGCCUUUUGUGAAGCCAAAGAAGCAGUUCUGUGGGAAGGCUCCCUACCCUCCUUCUGACCCUCAAACUCUGUCACAGUGCUCUUGUGAGGCCCCAUCUGGAUUACUGUGUCCAGGCCUGGAGCCCCAGUACAAGAAGGAUGCAGAGCUCUUGGAAUGAGUCCAGAGGAGGGCCACUAAGAUGAUCAGAGGGCUGGAGCACCUCUCCUAGGAAGAAAGGUUGAGGGAACUGGGCUUGUUUAGCUUGGAGAAGAGAAGGCUCUGGGGAGACCUCAUUGCUGCCUUCCAGUACUUGAAGGGAGCGUAUAAACAGGAGGGGGAGAGGCUGUUUACAUGGGUGGAUAGUGAUAGGACAGGGGGGAAUGGAUUUAAAUUGAGGCAGGUGAGGCUGAGGUUCGAUAUUAGGAGGAAGUUUUUCACCCAGAGGGUGGUGACGCACUGAACAGGUUGCCCAAGGAGGCUGUGGAUGCCCCAUCCUUGGAGGCAUUCAAGGCCAGGCUGGAUGUGGCUCUGGGCAGCCUGGUCUGCUGGUUGGCGACCCUGCACAUAGCAGGGGGUUGAAACUGGGUGGUCAUUGUGGUCCUUUUCAACCCAGGCCGUUCUAUGAUUCUAAAAAUGUAUCUCACCAAUGUUGUGUCACUGAGCUUUUUAAAAGUGUAAAAGAUGCUUUUUCUUGCAUUCAAAAUGGGGCAAUUGUGCUUGGUUUGUAGUUCAUGGCGCUUCAAGUUGCCAUUAUUUGUUAUGGUUCUGGUGUUCAGCUCUUGUACCUGGAACUAAGAAAGAACUUGCUUCCCUUCCCUCGUGGGCAAAUAAAAAAUACACCCAUCUGCUCUGUUAGCAGGUACAAAUUUGGCUUCACUGGACAAAUGAAAAACAAAAUAGGAUGAACACCCAAGGGUUCCUUUUAAUGAUCAAGAAAACGGACUCCAGAAGAAGCCAUCUCAACUCCCAAAUUCAUUCAUUGUAUUGGGAAUUGGUGAGUGGAUUCCUGUCCCAACUCUGGGAGGGCUGUUGAAACCUUCCUGCUUCAGUGUGUCCUCCUUCUUGGUCUUCUCUUCUUGAGCACCCACGCACUCCUGCCAACCCAUGUAGUGCAUCUCCCUGAACAACAAAAAAUGGCUUGUCUGGAAGCAGCACACACUUCUGUUCUCUCUGAGCAGACAGGAUGUGUAACAAAUGACUCACAAGCAGUAAUUACACUCCAUUCCUUCCUAUUCUGCAUUGAUUAUUCAGAUGUAGGAAGACGAGCUCUCUCCUGAACAAGGAAAAGAUCUGGAGACCCAAAUAUUGGAACACUGUUGGGUUUUGUUUGUUUCUUUUUUCCCCUCUCUUUUGUUUUUCAGAUACUGUUUACAGCCAUGGCACACCGAAGAGAUGAAACAUAUAUAAACAAAACCUCCUGUCAGAACGCUUGUAGUUUAUGUUUGUUUAAAGGACAAUUUUGUGUCAUCUCUUUGUAUUUUAAUAGUCAAAAUAAAUUUUGCAUAAUAAUUCAACUCCUCUCUGCUGCCUGUAAUGACUGUCUGCAUUUUUCUGAUGGAUGUUUGUAUUUGUUUCCUAUGAUUUACAUGACCUGACGUCUCAUAUAAUGAGCUUCCCAGCACAAAUGCCAUUUGUGAUACUCUGUGCAGCACUAAUCUAUCAUUUGAUGACCUUACAAGAGCUGGGGUCAUGGAUUCAAUCAGUAAAAUGUUUCAGGGUGUAAUUAAUUAUUCCCCCCACUCUUGCUCUACAACUGUUCGUUUACAAGUUGAUGAAAGCGAUGUUAUUUCGCAACACUUCUUCAAUACAUAGGGUUUGUUUGUAUAAUCAAUCACACUAAGUUGGGGAGUUCUUAGUAUUCAUGGCUUUGUCUUGCUCGGAACUUCCAAAUGUUUAUUUUCCAGCCUAAUUUAAUAGUUUAAUUAGCCAAACAACUAGCUACUGUACUUGUAAAAGUGCACUCCGGUUGUGAUUUAAUAACACGAGGACAGCCGUGGCUUUGCAUUUCCUGGGCUGGAUUGCAUUGCAUGGGCAGUGGAGCCUUGCCCAGUGCUGAGCCUUGCUGGCACGUUGCAGAGCAUGGAAGGGCUGCCUGCUCUCUGCUUCUUAUCAAACAACAGAGGGAACACAAGGUCUUGGCCUUUAGCACCCUGUGCUUGUUCCGAUAUUGUUUAAAAGAUGAUGAGAUCUCCAAGCUGGGGCUCAGGCAGUAAUUCAAGACGCAAGGUUAGUGCACGUGGUGGUGAUGGGUUGGCAGUUGGGCUUGAUGUUCUUAGAGGUCUUUUAUUUUUAUUCAGCCAUCUUUUCACCUAAUAAUUGGAAUUUCUGGUUUGCAGAUGGCUCUGGACCCACCCUGCAGGACUCUGCUGGGGCAAGGCGGUGAGAUCUUUGCCAGCAGUACUCAGGACAAAGCCACUGACACAGUUUGGAAGGAGCUGGAAGCCAUCAGCAGCUUAGCAAUGAAUUCCCUAAAAUGCUGUUAUUAUAUUAACAAGUUUUCUUUUAUCCUAUCAAGGUCCUAGGGAAUCUUUCUAUUGACCAUUAAGGCAAAGCAAGACAAAACAUGCUGAAAUUGAGAACUGAAUGGUUAUGGACUGAAAUCCUAUAAUGUUAUGAUUCAAUUUCACUUUGUUUGUAAAGAUGAUUGUUUCUGCAAUCCAGCUGCUCGGCUCACUGAAACACAGGGGAAAAAACUCAGAGGGAGGGAAGGCGGGGGAGAAAAACAACAAAAACAAUAAAAUGUAGGGAGAAAACAUGAAAAACUGGGAGGAUAUUCCAGUCCCAACUGGGACUGGGAAAGAGGCAGGUGUGUCUUUGAGGGACUGACGUGAAGCGGUGUAGCAAUGUUCUUCUCAUGACCUGUAGCCAUUACUUUGAUGCAAAACAGGCAGGGAAUGCAGCAGUUCGAUGUGAUUUAGGGUGGUGUCUCAGACCCAUCAAACCACACAGUGCAGCUCACGUCUGUAAUAUACGUGAAAUCAUUUGCAGUAUUAAUUCUAAAUGUUAUUUCACAGGGAAUUGGCUGCACCCAGUGUAUUGAGAUUAACACUAAUCGUUCUGUUAUAUAGGCUAUAGCCACUGCUACGUCUGGGGAAUCACUGUUGUUGCACGGAAUUCUUGCAGUGGUAUUUGAGCUGUGUAGGAUCUAGGUUUUCCUUUGAAACGUUGGAGGUCAGGAACAACUAGUCCCAGCUAAGAACUAAUUGCCUGGAGCAUAAUUUCUCUAUAGCGACAGAGUAUAGAAGUAGCAUCUGAAAGUACAAAGAAAGUCACUGUGCUUUUUGCUCUAUCAGCACACUUUAAUGAAAUUUUGAAGGGGGAAAAAAUUGCUUCUUGGCUUAAAGCAUGAGCUAUGUUAUUAAUCUCUGCAAAGGAGUUUUAUAAUUGAAAUGCCGAUGGAACAGCAGCUCUACUGACUCAAAUGAUGACAUAACAGUAUCUAGCAUGGGCAUAUAUGAUGCCCAUAUGUAUAUGUAUGAGGCUGUAUAAUACUGUGUCAUGAUCACAAGAGUUACCAAUAAUGCAGACAUAUUAAAAAAUAAGACUUAGCUGAUACCAGUUCCUUUGAAAUUGUUUUUUCUCCAUUCUCAUGACACCUGGCAUUUGAUGUUGUAGGGACUCAACAGGACUUUCCCAAGAGGUCCCAUAUACUGAAGCUACAAAGGUGGUGAAGAGUCUGGAGGCUGAAGACAUAUGAGGGGCGGCUGCGGUUUGUUCAGCCCAGAGGAGAGGAGACUGAGUGGUCCCUUAGGAGCCAGGAGUUGGACUUGAUGAUUAUUAUGGGUCCCUUCCAACUUGGGGUAUUCUAUGAUUCUACUGCGGGGGUUGCCUUUGGUAGGUUAUUGGCGUGGAGUACACUGCCUGUUGGUAGUAUGGUGUUGUCCUAUGCUAUCAUUCUUAUCAGGAGUUGGAAAAAAACUUUGUGUACUUAUACUGACAGGGUCUGUGGUCUCAAAACAGUAGCAGGCCAUUAGAAAACAAAACAGUCUGCUCUGCGCCGCUCCUUACCCUCAACCUCUCAGGCAAACUGUGAAAUUGACAGGCAGUUUCUUGGCCAGGUUAGCCUGCAGGCCUCUUGGCCAAGCCAGAACUCAGCUUCUCCCAGCAUGCCCUGAUCUGCAUGUCUUAUUUGGGGUUUUUGCUCCAGCGUGUGCUGGUUUUGUUCUAGUUGUGCAGCCCUAAGGAAAUGGUGACCUCGCGGGGUGGGAGUGCUCAGGGAGACCUGCUCGGAUCUGCCUCUGAAAUGCAGACAUCCAAUGCUCCUUGCCUCGUGCCCGCUGACCAUGAGCCCUGCUCCCAUAGGG